rnacentral:rRNA from 1 species
CUGGCGAGGAUGGCACUGACGCUGAGGCACGAAGGCGUGGGGAUCGAACAGGAUUAGAUACCCUGGUAGUCCACGCAGUAAACGAUGGCGACUUGUUGUCGGCGACAGACGGCCGGUGACAAAGCGAAAGCGAUAAGUCGCCCACCUGGGGAGUACGAUCGCAAGGUUGAAACUCAAAGGAAUUGACGGGGGCCCGCACAAGCGGAGGAGCAUGUGGUUUAAUUCGAUGAUACGCGAGGAACCUUACCUGGACUCAAAUGUUGGACGGCGGGCCCAGAGAUGGGUCUUCCCCUCGGGGCGUCCAGCAAGGUGCUGCAUGGUUGUCGUCAGCUCGUGCCGUGAGGUGUCAGGUUAAGUCCUAUAACGAGCGCAACCCCUGCGUCCAGUUGCCAGCGAGUAGAGUCGGGGACUCUGGACGGACUGCCGGCGCAAGCCGAGAGGAAGGCGGGGAUGACGUCAAAUCAGCACGGCCCUUACGUCCAGGGCGACACACGUGCUACAAUGGCCGGUACAGAGGGCAGCCACGCCGCGAGGCGGAGCGAAUCUCGAAAGCCGGUCUCAGUUCGGAUCGGAGUCUGCAACCCGACUCCGUGAAGUUGGA